AAAAAUUUAUUGCUAUAAAUAAAUUUAAAAAUUGGUUUUAAAUUGAGAAAACACAUGUACUUACUACACUCAUGGCUAAGUUUAAAACAUAUCUUACAUACUUAUUACAGGGAUACAAAAUAAAAAUAUAAAUAAACGGCAUCCAUAAGUAAAAAAUGGAAAAAUCAGAGACUUUAUAAGUAAAGUUUAGAAUCAGAAAAAGAUUGCAAUAUUUUGGAUAAUAAUCCUAGAUAUGUGGCUAAAUUCAACGUUAAAAUUGAAGAGGGACAGACCAGCGUAAUAUAGCUGAUAUCAUCUGCAUAUAGAUGGAACGAAAGGGAAAUAAAAGAAGAAUGUACAUUGUACAAGGAAAAUAGUUUACUAGGACCUAAGAUAGACCACUGUGGAACUCCAGAAUUAAUAAAACAAAGUCAGAUCUUUUGGAGUUAUAACUUGUGAAGUUCUCAAAUAUUAAAUCAAAAAUUAAAAGGGGUAGAAUUGAAAUUAACUUUUUGGUGAAGCUUGGUUAUCAAGAAGACUAUGGUUGAUUGAUCCAUUUGCAUGUAUUUGCAUUUGA